UACAGGGGGGGCAAGCGUUGUUCGGAAUUACUGGGCGUAAAGGGUCUGUAGGUGGCCAACUAAGUCAGACGUGAAAGCCCUCAGCUUAACUGGGGAACUGCGUCUGAUACUGGAUGGCUUGAGUGUGGGAGAGGAAUGCGGAAUUCCAGGUGUAGCGGUGAAAUGCGUAGAUAUCUGGAGGAACACCGGUGGCGAAGGCGGCAUUCUGGAUUAUAACUGACACUGAGAGACGAAAGCGAGGGGAGCAAACGGG
rnacentral:rRNA from 1 species